AUGGCACCACCUCCCACGCCCCUCCUCCUCCUCCUCCUCCUCCUCCUCCUCUGCUCCCUCACCAUCACGCCGGUGGCCGCCGGCGAGCGCGCGCGCACGGUGUACAUCGUCCACAUGGACAAGUCCGCCGUGCCGCCGCACUUCGCCGAGGACGCGCACGCGUGGCACUCGGCCAUCCUGGAGUCGGUGGCGGACGCGUCGCCGCGCGGCCGAGGACGCCCGGAGCACGUGUACUCCUACGCGAACGCGCUCAACGGCUUCGCCGCCACGCUCUCCGCUGCCGAGCUACGCGCGCUCCGCCACACGCCAGGGUUCGUCUCGGCGUACCCGGACCGCCGCGCGGACGUCGCCCACGACACGACGCACUCCCAGAGGUUCCUCGGCCUCCGCCCCGACGCCGGGCUGUGGCCGGCGGCGAACCUUGGCGAGGGCGUCAUCAUUGGCGUGCUGGACACCGGCGUUUGGCCCGAGAGCAACAGCUUCCACGACGACGGGAUGCCGGCCGUGCCCUCCCGGUGGCGCGGGGCGUGCGUGCCGGGCGUCUCCUUCCCCGCCACCACGUGCAAUAGGAAGCUCAUCGGAGCACGCUACUUCAACCGCGGAUACGUGGCCAUGUACCCCAACGCCACCGUAUCAAUGAACUCGACGCGCGACGACGACGGCCACGGCACGCACACAGCGUCCACCGCCGCGGGCAGCCCUGUGCCGUGCGCGUCCUUCUUCGGCUACGGGCGCGGCACGGCGCGUGGAACAGCUCCACGUGCCCAUAUCGCGGCGUACAAGGUCAGCUGGCCCAGCGACACGGUGAUGUCCGACGUCCUGGCGGCCAUGGACGCGGCGAUCACGGACGGCGUCGAUGUCGUGUCCAUCUCCCUCGGCUUCAACAACCAGCCGCUCUACACGGAUCCAGUUGCAAUUGCCUCGUUCGCUGCCAUGGAGCGCGGCAUCUUCGUGUCUGCGUCAGCGGGGAACGAUGGCGCCCAUGGGUUGGCCACGCUGCACAAUGGCAUCCCAUGGGUGCUCACGGUGGCGGCCGGCACGGUGGACCGGCAAAUGUUCGCCGGCACUGUGAGCUACGGAGACACGAAGCAAGGCAUCACCACGAUCACUGGGGUCACGUCGUAUCCAGCAAAUGCUUGGGUUUCUCAAGUGAAGCUGGUCUACAACGAGACGCUGUCCGCGUGCACCUCGUCAGCUCUGCUCCAAAGUCUGGAGACAAAGAAGAGCAUUAUCGUCUGCCGCGACACUGGGCUUGGUGCGAUGGACCAUCAGAUGAAGGUUGUCGCCGCGGCCGGUCUCACGGCCGCUAUCUUCGUCCCGCAGACCGAGACGGACGAACCUCUAAUGGGUGAGUAUUCGCUGCCGGUUAUCGCGAUUAGCCCAGAGGAUGCGCCCGCGCUGCUCAAGUAUAUCACCUCCAGCUCGCAGCCGACGGCCACGAUCAAGUUCCAGCAGACCGUCCUCGGCAGAGCACCGGCGCCGGUGGUCGCCUUUUACUCCUCCCGAGGGCCGUCGCCGAGUUUUGCGGGCGUCCUCAAGCCGGACAUAUUGGCGCCGGGUGACAGUAUACUAGCUUCCUGGCCACCCGUUGCUCCGUUGGCGUACGUAGGGUCGACGGCUUUGGGCGGCGACUUCCAAGUCGCGUCCGGGACUUCAAUGGCGUGCCCGCACGCCAGCGGCGUGGCGGCGCUGCUCCGGGCGGCGCACCCGGACUGGAGUCCGGCCAUGAUUAAGUCUGCAAUGGUGACCACGGCGAGCGCGGUCGACAAUCUGCACCGUCCCAUCGCCGACGCCGGCAACGGCAACGGCAUGGCUAGUCCGCUGGCCAUGGGCUCGGGGCAUGUCAACCCCAACUCUGCUCUGGACCCGGGUCUCGUCUUUGACGCCGGGCCGCGGGACUUCGUCGCGCUCCUGUGCGCCGCGAACUACACCGUCACCCAGAUCGCGGCGGUCACGCGGUCGUCCACGGCGUACAGUUGCUCCGUUUCGUCCAGCAACGACGUGAACUACCCGUCGUUCAUCGCCACGUUCGGCGCCAACGCGACCUCCGGGAGGAUGCGCUUCAGCAGGACGGCGACCAACGUCGGGGCGGGCGCGGCCACGUACCAGGCUCGUGGUCGGCGCCGAGCAACGUGGCCGUGGCCGUGA
rnacentral:rRNA from 1 species